rnacentral:tRNA from 1 species
GUAUCGAUAGCGCAGUGGUGUGUGUGUUUGGGUGAUGACCAGGAGGUCGUGGGUUCGACUCCCUCAUCCCCCA